rfam:Brachypodium distachyon strain Bd21 chromosome 3, whole genome shotgun sequence.
GGGGUGCUUUUUCCGUCCAACAAAGUAUGUCUCAACUCUAACUAAAUUUGAAUGCAUCUAUACACUAAAUUAAGUUUAGAUACAUUUAAAUUUUAGCAAAUUUUGAGACAUCUUCUGUUGGACGGAGAGAGUAUAAG